UAAACGAAGGAUGGAAACAAACUGAUUGAGU
rnacentral:sRNA from 1 species